AAGAUGAUGUAAAUGCUCUUCAUGAUAAAUAUUUCUAUAUUAACAAAUAUCUAUCUUGUACAACUCGAUCAUCUAUCACUGAUGGUGCUCUAUCUAGUUGAUCCUUUCAAUCAUAAUUUCGACCAUAGCCAAACAUAUGCAUUCCGUAACUUUGAAAAAGAAAUAAAUAAGAAAUUAAUUAUUAUUUUUACUCAUGUAAAUCCAUAUGCUAAAAGAUAUUAUGAUUCAUAAACAUGCAUAGCAAAU
rnacentral:lncRNA from 1 species